CAGCCCGGGGUGGGAGGGUUCCCUAGGCCCGGCUUCUCCCCUGGGACAGGGCCUUGGAGGGCACCGGGCACCCUCGGAGCGGCGGAGCCAAAUGAGCCGCAGCUGCUUAUCCCUCCUAACAACCCAGCUGGAGCAGCUGGUGAAUGUGAGUGAUUUAACUCACAAAGUCAGGCAUAUACAGUGUUGUUAUUUUUAACGUUCACGUUUAAAACAUGGUGUUUUAUACAUUACGGGAGGUCCUACUGAGAACUCAUUCCCCCAUUAAAAAUACCCGGAGUCAUUUUCAGUAGACGGUAAUUCCUCAGAUAAAACUGCCCGUUAUACAUAGAUCGGUUCUUUACUGAAGGGCCCUAGAGGGAAACUUGGAAGUGGGAGGUGGGUUUUGUGUUCUUGAAUGAGAAGACGCAUUUUUCUCAAAAUGUGAAUUCUUUCUGAGUUUAUCAAUUUUACAUAAACAAUGAAAAUACCAAGAUUUUAACAUUUUUGCACGACACCUGUCUUUUACUAUUGUGAUGACAUUUUAAAUAAUUUUAUAAUGGACUGAAAAAAUACUGGCUUCUCUAGUUAUUAAAAUGUGCUAUUAAUUUCUAUAAUUAAUUGUUUACUAACAACUGAAAAUACGCAUAAAUGCAUGGAACAGGAUAGGAAACCCAGAAACACUGAAAUGAUAUAAGAUAUAUGUAAGUGUUGAUAAUGUUAACAGAUAGGAAUAGGAAAGGAUGAAUUAUUAAUGAAAAAAUGCCUGCUCUUUGAAGAAAAGUAAUGAAAUUUUAUAUCACAAACAUGAUGGUAUAUGAAUUUAAAUUAAAAGAGGAAUGAAACUGUUUUCUGUCCACAAUAUGUGUGAGGAUGUUUUGUACUGCCGCUUAAAGUUGCUGGUAACUUUUUAAAUAGACAAUUUGGUGGUAAAUACUACAUUUGAAAAAUGUGUAUACUCUUUACCCAUCAAUUCCAUUAUACUAAAAUACCCUUGGGAGACAGUGAGAGAUACAUUCA